rnacentral:rRNA from 1 species
CGGAGGGUGCAAGCGUUAUCCGGAUUUACUGGGUUUAAAGGGUGUGUAGGCGGGCUAUUAAGUCUGGGGUGAAAUCUCCGAGCUCAACUCGGAAACUGCCUUGGAUACUAUUAGCCUUGAAUUAUGUUGAGGUUGGCGGAAUAUAACAUGUAGCGGUGAAAUGCAUAGAUAUGUUAUAGAACACCGAUUGCGAAGGCAGCUAACUAAGCAUAUAUUGACGCUGAGGCACGAAAGCGUGGGGAUCAAACAGGAUUAGAUACCCUGGUAGUCCACGCCCUAAACGAUGAUUACUCGUCACUGGCGAUACACAGUCAGUGACCAAGCGAAAGCGUUAAGUAAUCCACCUGGGAAGUACGUCCGCAAGGAUG